rnacentral:rRNA from 1 species
GAACUGAAGAGUUUGAUCAUGGCUCAGAUUGAACGCUGGCGGCAGGCCUAACACAUGCAAGUCGAGCGGAUGAGUGGAGCUUGCUCCAUGAUUCAGCGGCGGACGGGUGAGUAAUGCCUAGGAAUCUGCCUGGUAGUGGGGGGACAACGUUUCGAAAGGAACGCUAAUACCGCAUACGUCCUACGGGAGAAAGCAGGGGACCUUCGGGCCUUGCGCUAUCAGAUGAGCCUAGGUCGGAUUAGCUAGUUGGUGGGGUAAAGGCCUACCAAGGCGACGAUCCGUAACUGGUCUGAGAGGAUGAUCAGUCACACUGGAACUGAGACACGGUCCAGACUCCUACGGGAGGCAGCAGUGGGGAAUAUUGGACAAUGGGCGAAAGCCUGAUCCAGCCAUGCCGCGUGUGUGAAGAAGGUCUUCGGAUUGUAAAGCACUUUAAGUUGGGAGGAAGGGCAGUAAGUUAAUACCUUGCUGUUUUGACGUUACCAACAGAAUAAGCACCGGCUAACUUCGUGCCAGCAGCCGCGGUAAUACGAAGGGUGCAAGCGUUAAUCGGAAUUACUGGGCGUAAAGCGCGCGUAGGUGGUUUGGUAAGAUGGAUGUGAAAUCCCCGGGCUCAACCUGGGAACUGCAUCCAUAACUGCCUGACUAGAGUACGGUAGAGGGUGGUGGAAUUUCCUGUGUAGCGGUGAAAUGCGUAGAUAUAGGAAGGAACACCAGUGGCGAAGGCGACCACCUGGACUGAUACUGAC